rnacentral:rRNA from 1 species
GAUGAACGCUGGCGGCGUGCCUAAUACAUGCAAGUCGAGCGAACAGAUAAGGAGCUUGCUCCUUUGACGUUAGCGGCGGACGGGUGAGUAACACGUGGGUAACCUACCUAUAAGACUGGGAUAACUUCGGGAAACCGGAGCUAAUACCGGAUAAUAUUUCGAACCGCAUGGUUCGAUAGUGAAAGAUGGUUUUGCUAUCACUUAUAGAUGGACCCGCGCCGUAUUAGCUAGUUGGUAAGGUAACGGCUUACCAAGGCGACGAUACGUAGCCGACCGCAGAGGGUGGUCGGCCGCCCUGGAACGGAGACACGGUCAAGACUCCUAAGGGAGGCAGCAGUAGGGAAUCUUCCGCAAUAGGCGAAAGCCUGACGGAGCAACGCCGCGUGAGUGAUGAAGGUCUUCGGAUCGUAAAACUGUGUUAUUAGGGAAGAACAUACGUGUAAGUAACUGUGCACGGCUUGACGGUACCUAAUCAGAAAGCCACGGCUAACUACGUG